UUUAGUUUUUAAGAGGAGAUGGUAUGAUGGUUUAGAACUCUGGUAGUGUGUGUGUGUUCUCCUUGAGAGCUUGCCUUUAGAAACACUUCAACUCCAGAGUUUGAGGUUUCCUUGGUGGUCAACUCCAGAUCUUGCUUCCUUUUUGGCUGGAGUUCCACCGACAGGUCACUCGAUCGUUUCAGGUGAAUUUUUGAUGACGUGGCCGCCGGAAUUACAUGUCAGCAAAAUAAAAAUAUUUUUUUAAGCCACGUUGCGAAGCCCACCUCAGCACUUUGGCUGACUGGGCUUUAAGUUGCCAACUCACCCUCCAUGUCACCCUCCCAGCUUGGAGGAGUAAGUCCUAGCCAUGUGCACAUAUUUUCUGUAUGAAGCAUGAGCUUUUAUUCUGCAAUAUCUUUUAUAUCUGUUGUUUCUGCAAUCCUACUGGGCCCUUGUGGCCCAUGCACUAUGUGAAUUCUGUUCUCGCAGGAGAAGAUCAAGUCUUGGAUCGGGGGUUGUCUGGGGGUCGUAUUGUCUGCUUUUAUCAAUACCUCUAUAUUACCCUCUUGUGAGUGUAAGACUUAUAUUCUGACUGUAUUUGUAAUUUGCGAACUGUUGGGUUGUAUUUGUAUUCUGUAGGGCUGCUAAAGUCCGUACUUGUAGUAUUUCAGUUUCCAGUAUCCUAUUUGUGCUUUUGUGUUCUGUUCA